rnacentral:rRNA from 1 species
CCUACGGGUGGCAGCAGUGGGGAAUAUUGCACAAUGGGGGAAACCCUGAUGCAGCGACGCCGCGUGAGUGAAGAAGGAUUUCGGUAUGUAAAGCUCUAUCAGCAGGGAAGAAAAUGACGGUACGUGAUUAAGAAGCACCGGCUCACUACGGGCCAGCAGCCGCGGGAAAACGUGGGGGGCCGGGGUUAUCCGGAUUUACUGGGGGUAAAGGGGGCGUAGACGGCGGCACAAGUCUGGAGUGAAAUGCCGGGGUUUAACCCAGGGACUGCUUUGGAAACUGUACAGCUAGAGUGGAGGAGAGGUAAGUGGAAUUCCUAGUGUAGCGGUGAAAUGCGUAGAUAUUAGGAAGAACACCAGUGGCGAAGGCGGCUUACUGGACUGUAACUGACGUUGAAGCUCGAAAGCGUGGGGAGCAAACAGGAUUAGAUACCCCAGUAGUC